rnacentral:rRNA from 1 species
UGGGGAAUAUUGCGCAAUGGGCGAAAGCCUGACGCAGCGACGCCGCGUGGAGGAUGAAGGUCUUCGGAUUGUAAACUCCUGUCGGAUGGGAAGAAAGGUUUAUGUCUAAUAAACGUAGAAUAUGACGGUACCAUCAGAGGAAGCACCGGCUAACUUCGUGCCAGCAGCCGCGGUAAUACGAAGGGUGCAAACGUUAUUCGGAAUCACUGGGCGUAAAGGGUGCGUAGAUGGCUUAUUAAGUUUGUUGUUAAAGGCUUCAGCCUAACUGAAGUAUUGCGAUGAAAACUGGUAUGCUAGAGGGUGAGAGAGAGAAGUGGAAUUCCUGGAGUAGCGGUAAAAUGCGUGGAUCUCAGGAGGAACACCAAUGGCGAAGGCAGCUUCUUGGCUCAUUCCUGACAUUGAGGCACGAAAGCGUGGGGAGCAAAC